CAGCGUUAGACUGAAAAUCACAUGUGUGCCGCCAUUUUUUGUCUAUCGCCCUGGGCCGCGCUCUACAAACGUCAUUACUGAUGAUUGUUUUAAUAAGGGUGGAUAAGUUUAAGGCAUGUUUCUGGUCAUCCGUCAAGAAAUUAUCGUAUUAACUGGUUGGUAAUGCCGGUAAGGGGUUGAUACAGAUGCAGAGCAGCCUCGCGCAGGGCAUGUUCCUGGCGGGUGGUCGGGGGGCGUACGCGGGCGCGGCGCUGCAGGGACCUCUUGCGUAUCUGGAGAAGACCGCUACCAAUAUAGACAUGGUGGGUUUGGGCGACGGGCGAAGGUGACGCGGCCGCGGGCGGGGCAGGGGCCGCGGUCGGGGCAGAGGCCGAGGUCGUGGCGCGUCCCCUGAGUACGGGGGCAGCAUGACGCCCCCAUAGCGGCAACCUCUCCCGGCGACAGCGCGCGCGUCAUACGACCCCUCAGACCAGCUGGACUACUCGCAGUAUUUUCUAGAAUUAGACCAGAGUCUGCAGUACCAAAGGGCACAUAGUACUGACCCAUGCGAGUGCGAUCUAGGAAUAGCCAGUACUAGUACAAGUACUGGAACGCACGGCUGCUCGUCACAGUGGAGAUAAAAUUGCAACCAGAGACAAUUGUGUAGUUUUUAAAUUUUAAUCUUUAUCCAGUUUGUGGUUCGGUGUUUAUGUGUAGUGUUGACAGAUUUGUAGUGUUUUGACAGCUGUCAAAUAACAUUAAAAUCAUUAUUGUAAGGAAAUUUCUACCUUUUAUGUAAAGUUAUGAGGCUAUUUUAAAAUGAUGGAAAUUUUAUAUUCGUACUAUUUUACUAUUCGAUAUUAUAAUUUUAAAAAGCAUGUAAAAAUUACCACACGUAUAGAUUGUAAAUUCAGGUCACAACCCGACACCGCGAAGCUUCGCCUCAACAUUUCUGAUUGAGCGGAAUAAAGAUAUGAAGUUACACUGACUUCUAUAAAAAGAUAGGCUAUAAACUGUGGCCUAUCUAUUUUUCUUUAUCCUACACAAUCAGCGACGUAGAGUUGCGAUCGCGAGUUGGGGCGAGAAUGGCGUACGUUCACACUUGGCCAGUACAGUUGGAAAAUAGCGCUCAGUAACUCACUGGCAUAGUGUGAAUACUAACUUAGCUUAGCUUUUUUGGACAGUUCAGCUGUUCCACCGCGACUGGCGUAGUGUCAGUUAAAUAAUUAUUAAUGAAUAGGAAAGAACUAAACUUAUAAUUUAGGAAUUUAACUUUCAUAUUUGACGUAAGCAUACGCACCAUUAAAUAAUUACGUAGUUGCAAAUUAAAAAUGGCUUUAUUUGCUAUUGAAUAUAUU